GAGACAGCAGUCGCCGCGGUAAUACGUAGGGUGCAAGCGUUAAUCGGAAUUACUGGGCGUAAAGCGUGCGCAGGCGGUUAUAUAAGUCAGAUGUGAAAUCCCCGGGCUCAACCUGGGAACUGCAUUUGAGACUGUAUGGCUAGAGUGUGUCAGAGGGGGGUAGAAUUCCGCGUGUAGCAGUGAAAUGCGUAGAUAUGCGGAGGAACACUGAUGGCGAAGGCAAUCCCCUGGACCUGUACUGACGCUCAUGCACGAAAGCGUGGGGAGCAAACAGGAUUAGAUACCCGCGUAGUCCCUGUCUCUUAUAC
rnacentral:rRNA from 1 species